rnacentral:lncRNA from 1 species
AGUGCCUCAAGGCAGAAGAAGCAGUCUUUUGGAACGUGGUCUUGGAAGUAACAUGUAUCACCUCUACCUGCUUCUGUUGCUAGAAGCAAGUCAUCAGCCUCCAUGCAAGGAGAGGAGACUAUAGGAAACACGAAUACCAGGAGGAGGGGAUCACUGGGUUUCAUCUUAAAGGCUGUCUACUAUAUACUAGAUAAUUGUUAUAAAAAUUAUUCUAAAAUCUUACUGUUCAAGGAGAAAUAAAAAUCAACCAUAAGUUAUUAUUAAGUUUUAAACAAAUCUUUCUCCCUCUCCCCCCUUAAUAAUCCACACUCAUCAGUUUUCUUGCUCUCUUUCUUUUUAGGGAAAAAAUGCAUUUUUCAAAGACCUAACUUCAAUUCAGUUAUUACCUAGUGGGGAAAUGGAUCCAAAUUUUAUUUCUGUACGACAACAGUUCUUAUUGAAAGUUGUCAGUGCAGCUGUCCAGGCCCAACAUUCAGCCACAAAGGUCAAAGAUCCCACAGAAGAGGCCACACCCACUCCUUUUGGGAAAGACCAAGAUUGGCCAGCUCUAGCUGUGGAUUUAGCCCAUCACCUUCAAGUUAGUGAAGAUGUUGUUAGAAGGCAUUAUGUGGGGGAACUAUACAACUAUGGAGUUGACCACUUAGGAGAAGAGGCCAUUCUACAGGUUCAUGACAAAGAGGUCCUUGCCUCUCAGCUGCUGGUGCUCACGGGGCAAAGGCUGGCUCAUGCGCUUCUCCACACCCAGACAAAAGAAGGAAUGGAGCUGCUUGCCAGACUUCCACCCACACUGUGUACUUGGCUGAAAGCAAUGGACCCCCAGGACCUUCAAAACACUGAAGUGCCAAUUGCAACAACAGCUAAACUAGUAAAUAAAGUAAUUGAGCUUUUACCAGAAAAACAUGGGCAAUAUGGUCUAGCCUUACACCUCAUUGAAGCUGUGGAAGCCAUAUCUCUUCCUUCUUUAUGACACUUACCUACUGGAAAUAGUCUAAAAUUAUGAUUAUAACAUGAAGUAGUGCAUGGUUAUUUUACAUAGUAAGACCUGGAAUUUUAUGGGAAAAGUAUGUCUUUUUUUUUCCUUUUGUAAAAUAAAUAAAAGUAUAUACAACUUUUAAAAAGUGC